ensembl:lncRNA
CCUAAACCUGCCCUGUUCAGCACUCUGUUUAAGCCUCCACCGGGUUAUGCAAACCUCAGUGCUCCCCAAAGCAGACUGUGCAGCCUGUUUCUCCUUUGGCCUCUGAGGCUUGCUCUAAUGGGCAUGGUUGAGGAAAUAACCCCUUUCUUCUGUAAAAGCCAAAGGGUAUCAACCAGGAUAUGGCAUGAACCAAGCAAACAAAAUCACUAAGGAAGAAAUACGCUCACAUGUUCUCCUACAGAAGUGGAACUGCAGCAUGGCUGUACCUGCCCCUUGUCUCAGCCCUCGUGCCCUUCCCUUUCAGAUGUCCGUGCUCCUCCCAGCCAGCUGAUAGCCCCAGAUAAAACAACACAUGAUGUGGAAUCACCGCAGGACCCGUCUGGCAGCUCCAUCCUGCAGCUCCAUCCUUUGCCUCUCCCUGGGCAAACAUCCUCGACUCUCCGUCACACUAAAUAUGGACCUGCAAGAUCCCCACAGCAGGUGUGAGCAAAUGUGCUCUUCCCAUCCCCGGCUCUCCCCUUCCCCUGCCCAUCUCCAGAAUAAGAAGCAGCGGCUCCUGAUGUUCUCCUCCUAUCUGCUUUUACAUGUGGGCCGGGAGGUACAUCUCACUGCCCCGGGCAGCACUGGGGAGCCAGGCAGGACAGCAGGAUGUGAAUGUGGAGAAAUGCAGCAUCACCGAUCUCACAUUCCUCAGCGCUGCGGGAUGACCUGAGCCUGAGGGCAGCAAUGAGGGGAGCACAGCUCUGGAUGCCAUUCCUCACCCCACAAAGCCCUUCCAACCUUACAAUGACAACAGGAUCUUCCCGGGGAGGCACUGCCGGGAGAGGCUGACCACAAUCAGGGACUGAAAGCAGUGACUAUUUCUUUGACUCAGCCACCAUUCAUUCAAUGAAUGAAAUACAAUUUACCUGACUCACAGAAACACCACGCAACAAACUUAAUAACGAGCCACGAGACCCCACAGUGACCGGCACCGUUUGUCAGCUGACAUAAAGAGCUCUGCUCUGCGUCCCACAGCACUGCUAAACCCACAGCCUCACAGAGCUUUGGACCGGAAGAGACGUUCCCUCACCCCUCGCUCACACGGUUAACAUACAGAUGGCAUCGGGAGGCUUCGAGACAGUCACAUUUUAAGCGACGCUUUGUGAAAUUACAUCUAAAAAAGAAAAAUCUUUGCCCAAAGGGGGACGGAGGAGCUGAGGAAGGAAUAAAGCCGGAAUUCGGGGCACUGCUUUCUUCCAGCCCCAAUUACAGGGCUGGAUUCCGCGGCUAAUUAGAAUCAAAUGCUCCCAAUGAAUUCAGGGGAAGCAGCGCUACGCUCAACUCGGCCCGGAGGCUGCGGGGAGAGCGGGGCGGCACCGGGCGGCUCGGGGCGCACAGAGCACCGCAUUCCUCUCCCGGUAACGACCGACUGAAUAGCUAAAAAGCAGCGCAGGGAGCAAAAAUUCAGUGCGCCCCAACCGCAACGAGACUCCAUUACCCCCCGGAAUAAAAGGACCUUUGCGCUCAGCCGGGGCUUAAUUGCAGCCCCGCCGCCGGGAAUCCCCAUCAGCCCCAGCGGUACCGCACAGCGGAGCGUCCACGGCGCAUUACAACCGCGCAGCGCGGAGAACGGAGCCGCGAACCGAACCGCUCCGGGCGGCAGCGAAG